GAGACUCUGUGCGCGUGCAUAUCAAUAAGCGGAGGAAAAGAAACUAACAAGGAUUCCCCUAGUAACGGCGAGUGAAGCGGGAAGAGCUCAAAUUUGAAAUCUUAAAGGGUUUCCCUUUACGAAUUGUAGUUUAAAGAAGUGUUUUCUGUUGGAGUUUCGGUAAAAGUUCUUUGGAAUAGGACAUCAUAGAGGGUGAGAAUCCCGUAUUUGACCGUUACUUUCCAGCUGUGUGAUACACUUUCAAAGAGUCGGAUUGUUUGGGAAUGCAGUCCAAGAUGGGUGGUAAAUUUCAUCUAAAGCUAAAUAUUGGCGAGAGACCGAUAGCGAACAAGUACCGUGAGGGAAAGAUGAAAAGAACUUUGAAAAGAGAGUUAAACAGUACGUGAAAUUGUCAAAAGGGAAGCGUUUGACACCAGUGUUGUUUAGUUGAAAAUCAAUUCAAUAGUUUUUGAUUCUAAGUAGUAUUGACUUCAUCAGCUUGCUGCUUUCUUCUCAGAAAUUAUUGAAUGCACUUUUCAGUUAACAAGUCAACAUCAAUUUCUUUUGUUGUAAAAGGGUAUGAGGAAGGUGGCUUGCGUUUCGGAUCAAGUGUUUAUAGCCUUUUAUCCUCUGCAAUCGGAGAGAUUGAGGUCUGCAGCGUAGAUCCUUCGGGGUUAGAUACAUUUGGUGCUAAGCUUAUAGCUUGUCAUAGACAACUUGUUGACUAUGUUCAGUCAUUGUAGCUUACUCGCUGAUGCUAUUUUACCUACGCUUAGGAUGUUGACAGCAGUAUAGACUGU
rnacentral:rRNA from 1 species